CGUAACAAGGUCUCCGUUGGUGAACCAGCGGAGGGAUCAUUACUGAGUUACCGCUCUAUAACCCUUUGUGAACAUACCUAACUGUUGCUUCGGCGGGCAGGGGGUGCCGCCUGCGGACCCCCCUCCCGGCCCUGCCCUCACGGGCGGAGCGCCCGCCGGAGGAUACCAAACUCUAUUUUAACGACGUUUCUUCUGAGUGGCACAAGCAAAUAAUUAAAACUUUCAACAACGGAUCUCUUGGUUCUGGCAUCGAUGAAGAACGCAGCGAAAUGCGAUAAGUAAUGUGAAUUGCAGAAUUCAGUGAAUCAUCGAAUCUUUGAACGCACAUUGCGCCCGCCAGCAUUCUGGCGGGCAUGCCUGUUCGAGCGUCAUUUCAACCCUCAAGCUCUGCUUGGUGUUGGGGCCCUACGGUUGACGUAGGCCCUUAAAGGUAGUGGCGGACCCUCUCGGAGCCUCCUUUGCGUAGUAACUAACGUCUCGCACUGGGAUUCGGAGGGACUCUUGCCGUAAAACCCCCAAAUUUUUAAAGGUUGACCUCGGAUCAGGUAGGAAUACCCGCUGAACUUAAGCAUA
rnacentral:rRNA from 1 species